GGGGAAUAUUGCACAAUGGGGGAAACCCUGAUGCAGCGACGCCGCGUGGAGGAAGAAGGUCUUCGGAUUGUAAACUCCUGUUGUUGAGGAAGAUAAUGACGGUACUCAACAAGGAAGUGACGGCUAACUACGUGCCAGCAGCCGCGGUAAAACGUAGGUCACAAGCGUUGUCCGGAAUUACUGGGUGUAAAGGGAGCGCAGGCGGGAGAACAAGUUGGAAGUGAAAUCCAUGGGCUCAACCCAUGAACUGCUUUCAAAACUGUUUUUCUUGAGUAGUGCAGAGGUAGGCGGAAUUCCCGGUGUAGCGGUGGAAUGCGUAGAUAUCGGGAGGAACACCAGUGGCGAAGGCGGCCUACUGGGCACCAACUGACGCUGAGGCUCGAAAGUGUGGGUAGCAAACAGGAUUAGAUACCCUGGUAGUCCACACCGUAAACGAUGAUUACUAGGUGUUGGAGGAUUGACCCCUUCAGUGCCGCAGUUAACACAAUAAGUAAUCCACCUGGGGAGUACGACCGCAAGGUUGAAACUCAAAGGAAUUGACGGGGGCCCGCACAAGCAGUGGAGUAUGUGGUUUAAUUCGACGCAACGCGAAGAACCUUACCAAGUCUUGACAUCCCUUGACGAUGCUGGAAACAGUAUUUCUCUUCGGAGCAAGGAGACAGGUGGUGCAUGGUUGUCGUCAGCUCGUGUCGUGAGAUGUUGGGUUAAGUCCCGCAACGAGCGCAACCCUUAUGGUCAGUUACUACGCAAGAGGACUCUGGCCAGACUGCCGUUGACAAAACGGAGGAAGGUGGGG
rnacentral:rRNA from 1 species